rnacentral:rRNA from 1 species
UACGUAGGGUCCGAGCGUUGUCCGGAAUUAUUGGGCGUAAAGGGCUCGUAGGCGGAUUCUUAAGUCAGGGGUGAAAUCCUGGAGCUCAACUCCAGAACUGCCUUUGAUACUGGGAAUCUCGAGUCCGGGAGAGGUGAGUGGAACUGCGAGUGUAGAGGUGAAAUUCGUAGAUAUUCGCAAGAACACCAGUGGCGAAGGCGGCUCACUGGCCCGGUACUGACGCUGAGCCGCGAAAGCCAGGGGAGCGAACGGG